rnacentral:tRNA from 1 species
UCGGGAAAUAGCUCAGCUUGGUAGAGCACUUGCUUCGGGAGUAAGGGGUCGCAGGUUCAAAUCCUGUUUUCCCGAU